UGCCAGACUCCUACGGGAGGCAGCAGUGGGGGAUAUUGCACAAUGGGGGAAACCCUGAUGCAGCGACGCCGCGUGGGCGAAGAAGUAUUUCGGUAUGUAAAGCCCUAUCAGCAGGGAAGAAGAAAUGACGGUACCUGAGUAAGAAGCACCGGCUAAAUACGUGCCAGCAGCCGCGGUAAUACGUAUGGUGCAAGCGUUAUCCGGAUUUACUGGGCGUAAAGCGCUCGUAGGCGGUAUGUCAAGUCAAGGGUGAAAUCCCCGCGCUCAACGUGGGAACUGCCUUUGAAACUGGCAAACUGGAGUGUGUGAGAGGAUAGUGGAAUUCCAGGUGUAGGAGUGAAAUCCGUAGAUAUCUGGAGGAACAUCAGUGGCGAAGGCGACUAUCUGGCACAUAACUGACGCUGAGGAGCGAAAGCGUGGGUAGCAAACAGGAUUAGAUACCCGUGUACG
rnacentral:rRNA from 1 species